GGGCUUGACAUCCCACGAACCUGCCUGAAAGGGCGGGGUGCCCGCAAGGGAGCGUGGAGACAGGUGGUGCAUGGCUGUCGUCAGCUCGUGUCGUGAGAUGUUGGGUUAAGUCCCGCAACGAGCGCAACCCUCACCCCUGGUUGCCACCGGGUAAAGCCGAGCACUCGAGGGGAACUGCCAGCGUCAAGCUGGAGGAAGGCGGGGAUGACGUCAAGUCAUCAUGCCCCUUACGCCCUGGGCUACACACGUGCUACAAUGGCCGGUACAAAGGGACGCGAGACCGCGAGGUGGAGCUAAUCCCAAAAAACCGGUCUAAGUUCAGAUUGCAGUCUGCAACUCGACUGCAUGAAGGAGGAAUCGCUAGUAAUCGCGCAUCAGCACGGCGCGGUGAAUACGUUCCCGGGCCUUGUACACACCGCCCGUCACACCACGAAAGCUGUCUGUACUCGAAGUCGCUGAGA
rnacentral:rRNA from 1 species